UUAAAUAGCCGCAAUCGUGCUAAGGUAGCAUAAUAAUUUGUCUUUUAAAUAAAGACUGGAACAAACGAUUUAACAUUUUAAAUCAUUUAUUUAAUUUUAUAAUUAAAAUUAUCUAAAAUGUAAAAAGACAUUUAUUUUUAAGAAAGACGAUAAGACCCUAUUGAACUUAACUUAAGUUAUACUGGGGCAGUAAAUUAAUUAUUAUUUUAAUAAUAAUAAAUAUCUAUUAAUCCAAUAAAAUUGAUUUAAUAAGUUACCAUAGGGAUAACAGCGCAAUUAUAUUUUUAAGUUCUUAUUUAAAAAAUAGAUUACGACCUCGAUGUUGAAUUAAUAACCUAAUUUAAGCAAAUUUUAAAAAAGGAAGUCUGUUCGACUUUUAAAAAAUUACAUGAUUUGAGUUCAGACCGGUAUAAGCCAGGUCGGUUUCAAUCUUCUAAAAAGUUUUAUGUAGUACGAAAGGACCUAUAAAUAUUUUAUUUCAUAUUGGCAGAAAAAUGCAUUAGAAUUAGAAUCUAAUAAAUCU
rnacentral:rRNA from 1 species